rnacentral:rRNA from 1 species
CCUGCCUUCAAGAGGGGGAUAACAUUCUGAAAAGAAUGCUAAUACCGCAUGACAUAUCGGAACCACAUGGUUCUGAUAUCAAAGAUUUUAUCGCUUGAAGAUGGACUCGCGUCCGAUUAGUUAGUUGGUGAGGUAACGGCUCACCAAGACCGCGAUCGGUAGCCGGACUGAGAGGUUGAACGGCCACAUUGGGACUGAGACACGGCCCAGACUCCUACGGGAGGCAGCAGUGGGGGAUAUUGCGCAAUGGGGGCAACCCUGACGCAGCAACGCCGCGUGAAGGAUGAAGGUUUUCGGAUUGUAAACUUCUUUUAUUAAGGACGAAAAAUGACGGUACUUAAUGAAUAAGCUCCGGCUAACUACGUGCCAGCAGCCGCGGUAAUACGUAGGGAGCAAGCGUUGUCCGGAUUUACUGGGUGUAAAGGGUGCGUAGGCGGCUUUGCAAGUCAGAUGUGAAAUCUAUGGGCUCAACCCAUAAACUGCAUUUGAAACUGUAGAGCUUGAGUGAAGUAGAGGCAGGCGGAAUUCCCCGUGUAGCGGUGAAAUGCGUAGAGAUGGGGAGGAACACCAGUGGCGAAGGCGGCCUGCUGGGCUUUAACUGACGCUGAGGCACGAAAGCGUGGGUAGCAAACAGGAUUAGAUACCCUGGUAGUCCACGCUGUAAACGAUGAUUACUAGGUGUGGGGGGUCUGACCCCUUCCGUGCCGGAG